GUAUGUGAUCGUCUCUCGCAUAUCAAUAAGCGGAGGAAAAGAAACUAACAAGGAUUCCCCUAGUAACGGCGAGUGAAGCGGGAAGAGCUCAAAUUUGAAAUCUUAAAGGGUUUCCCUUUACGAAUUGUAGUUUAAAGAAGUGUUUUCUGUUGAGGUUUUGGUAAAAGUUCUUUGGAAUAGGACAUCAUAGAGGGUGAGAAUCCCGUAUUUGACCUUUACUUUCAACUUUGUGAUACACUUUCAAAGAGUCGGAUUGUUUGGGAAUGCAGUCCAAAAUGGGUGGUAAAUUUCAUCUAAAGCUAAAUAUUGGCGAGAGACCGAUAGCGAACAAGUACCGUGAGGGAAAGAUGAAAAGAACUUUGAAAAGAGAGUUAAACAGUACGUGAAAUUGUCAAAAGGGAAGCGUUUGACACCAGUGUUGUUUUUCUGAAAAUCAAUUAAAGAACUGUUUAUGCUAAGUUGUUUAGACUUUAUCAGCUAACUGUUUAGUUUUGAGCUUUUCUUUAAUGCACUUUUCAGUUAACAAGUCAACAUCAAUUUCUUUUGCUGUAAAAAAGCUUGAGGAAGGUGGCUUGAGAUUCGUCUUAAGUGUUUAUAGCCUCUUGCCUAUGCAGUCGGAGAGAUUGAGGUCUGCAGCGUAGAUCCUUCGGGGCUAAAUGCAUUUGUGCUAAGUUAUAGCAUUUUAUAGACAACUUGUUGACUAUGAUUUGUCUUGUAGCUUACUCGCUUAUGUUAUUUUACCUACGCUUAGGAUGUUGACACACGCGCGUGCUCG
rnacentral:rRNA from 1 species